GGAGAUUUAUUUUUGCUACUUUACAGAAUUAAUUUGGUUAUCUUAUUUUCUAAAGUUAAUUAUUUUUAUUUUUCCUUCCUUUCCCUUUUCUUUUUUUUAUCGUUCUCCCUCUUUCAUUCCUUCUUCUCUUUUCUUCUUUUCCUUUUUCCUUUCCUUUUCUUUUCUUUGGGUUGUUGUUAUAGUUUCGGUGUGUGUGAUCGGGUAAGUACGCAUUCCACUGUUGCCGAUUGAAAGGUUAAUUGGGUGAAUUUUUAUUUGUAGAACUUCUGUUAAACGGUUUUUUUUUUCAUUUCUAUCGGAGUUGUUUUCAACUCAAAUUAUUUAAGCUUUCUUUUAAGAAAUCGUUUGGUUUCUUUUUAGAGAAGGAUAUCGAAAGCAACGAUCCUCAACGCACUAACUCGAGUAAUUACAAUUGAUUUUUUCGAUAAGUCUGGACUCGUUGAAGCUUUUGCGUCGAAAAUUUUGACAUAGUUUCGGCGCGUGAUUUUGUAUUGUUAUCAAUUAAGUUAUUUAAUUGAGUUAUUGAAUGGUCGUUUUUAGGCUUCGAGAGUCUUCUGCGUUGUUCCUCCUUUGAAACUACUUCAGAUACAUACCGAAAACCUGACUCUCUGCGAAAUUUAGACGCCGAAAACCGUGACUGUCAAUGCCACACGGCUGUGUGCUAGGUCGUGUGGUAGGCCGUAGGCGACACACAGUCGUGUGUUAGGCCGUGUGGCAGGUCGUUUGACUCACUAUUGUUAUUAGGACAACAUGGACCAGAGACACAGACGUGUGUCCAAGUCGUGUGACACAUUAUUGUUAUUAGAGACCACACGAGUCAGAGACAUGGGUGUGUGUCCAAGCCGUGUGACUCACUAUUUGCGAUCUAAGACCACACAGGCAGACAACAUGGGCGUGUGACAGGCCGUGUGGGGCGAUGCAAGCCAAUCAUUUAGGCCAUGUGAAACCACAUAGAUGUGUAGGUCAGAAUCCUUAUGGCCGUAAGCGUCGUCUGACGUGAAUGUACGCCAUCCAUAAUGUACAUAUGAUCUGAAUUAGACCGUAUAAUUUGCUAUCUAAUGAUCUGAGACCGAGUAAUUGACCAUCUAAACGUAUACUGAUUGUGAUGAUUGUUGAUGAUAAUAAUCUGUACUACCGAACUGUGAACUGUAAUUGAAUAACUAUGUGUAUGUUCUUGAUAUUUGACGUCCAUAAUCUACACUUGCAGUAGGUGGGAAUUGUAUGAAAGGGAAGUGAUCUAUUCUGGUUCAGUGGCUAAGCCACAAUUUCUAUGUGAAUAUGGCGUUUUAUCGCAAAUUGAUUUGACAGCUAGUCUGCAAUCACGUUGAAUGUGUUUAGUCCAAAAAUUAUUUAGUUGUUGGAUGAAGAAGCCUUUUAUUUUGGUGGGAGGACAUCUCUUCCAUUCAAACACUGAAUCCACUUAAGUGAA
rnacentral:lncRNA from 1 species